ACAAUGGAGAGUUUGAUCCUGGCUCAGGAUGAACGCUAGCGGCAGGCCUAACACAUGCAAGUCGAGGGGCAGCACGGUGUAGCAAUACACUGGUGGCGACCGGCGCACGGGUGCGUAACGC
rnacentral:rRNA from 1 species